AAAAAGGCAUGGAUCCAAGCGUCCUGUUUUAUGUCCCCCCUUCAAGCGACCGUGACUAAUGAAGACAGGUAUUACGACAAAAGGGACCUCCGCAUAGUUACUGCCCUAUUUAGCAUGCAGCCAAAGAUCAGGAAGGAAAGGGGAGAUGCACAGAAUGAAGGAAAGGAGGUAGCGUGUGAUCUCUUGACAAAAGGGGAACAAUCAUUCAUGGAGUCAAAAUGGAGUGGGAGUGUAUCUGUAAAGGCAGAGAGAUGGGAGAGAUGGAGGGAAAGGAACUGGGCAUGCAAGAGGCAAAGAUGAAGUCCUUCAAAAAGGCUAGUGAAAAUCAAGCACUCCUAGGUAUGAUUAAUUCUGCACUCCACAAGAGUGAAACUAUUCCCCCCUGCCAUUUCUGUGACAGGCGCUCCCAGAGGCCCCCAUCACUGCUAAAGCUCCAUUAUCUGAGGCACUGCACUGAUACAUAAAUGACAUGGUUCCUGCCACAAGGGCCUUGCAGUUUAACAUGAGCCGAAAUGCAAUAAAGGAAUGUAAUAUACAGAAUAAAGGACCAGGGGAGGAAGGACAGCCAAAACGUUGCAAGCCUGCAUUGCAGCCUGUGUGUGUUAUGCAACUUCACAGGUAUAAUCAUGUAGCUAAUACAAGAAUAAUGUUCAUACACAGUAGUGACCCACUCUCCAUCUCAGGCACUUCCAUUUCUUUUUUUUUUUUCCCAUUGAAGAACCAAGAAAAAUCACACACACUUUUAACCUUUUGCCCGAACAGCUGUUGGUGGUAGUAGUUAGGGCAGCAGGCUAACACAGUAAUAGCUGGAGCAAAAGGCAUAUGAGCUGCUGGAGGUCAUAGCCCUUUGACUUGUAACAUCUUGUGAGACCUGGACAUGUACAAGCUUCCCUCUGACCCGAAGUGGAAUUGCCUAUGUCUGUCCCUGCGCAGCCCCUGCACUGCCCUGCAUGGUUCCAGGGCGACUCUUUGUAAGUGAGCUGGGUACAGAAGUUCUUUUUCAGUUGGAUCAGUUCUCCCAGCUCCCAGUGAAGGCACAGAAAUACCCUGGCCAGCCAGUGUGGGAAGGAGCACCAAGGCCAGGCAGAGAGACAGUGGGACUUACACAAGCUGCUGGAGGCCUUAGGUUUCAAAAGGGAAGUAUUGGCCUCAGCUGCGCUUCUGCAAAGCAGGUGGUUUUACUAUUAGGUGCUCAAAUUUAGACACAGUUUCAGUUUCCUAGGAUGGCAUGCCCUAAGCCAGCAGCUCACCUCCACCAAAAUGAGGAGGCCCUGUUCCCAGCCAUGCAAUCCCAUCAUCUUUUUUAUCAGCUCUGCUACUUGUGAAUAAAUGAAGCCCUUCGCUCACCACUGCUAUUCACUGACCAAGCAGAAACAUGACCGAGAAGGAAACAGCUGCCUGAUAUUUUCUCUGCUGGGUUAGUGAGUUGAAUCAGCUUACAGGCAAGUUCACAAAGCUCCAGAGCUACCCUAAGUGAGACAGCAGGGUCUUUGGCUAGGAAGAGGUCUGGGUUAGAGAAGGAAAAGGAGGAAAAGGAACAAGACUUCCCCCUUAUGGCAAGAGGAAGCCAUCAGAUAUGCUUAGGUACUUACAACUGCAACUUUAGAGGUCAAUUUACCUGUGUUACCCCAGGAUACACAAACUGCAUAGGAACAGGCAGCUCUGCAGUUUGCUGCAAUCCCUAAAUUCAUUCCCAUUCCCAUUUUAUAUAAUACUAGUGUGGUCCUAGUUCCACAUAUCUUAUUCAUGCAGAAAUACUCAUUAAAGAAGUUUUAUUAAGUAACUGGAGGAAAAUCUAUCUUCUCAGCCUGCAGGUUUCUGUGGUUUGGGGAAACUGAUGUAUCUUUUGAAGAUAUGUUGAGGUAUAUCUCCUAAUUCUCAUUUGUGUAUAGUAUAAGCAAACCCAUUAUAAAAGAGAAUGCAACUUUAAAGUACACAAGUGUAAAGUUCCCAUGGGUAACUAAUGCAGUAAGUACCGUGGAUUUAAACAAGCCCUUCCAGUGUCCCUCACCCAUGCCAGUUUGUGUGGUUUAAUGUGCUCUAUCUGCGUUAAGACAGGGGAGAAGCUCAUCCUUGCUCAGCUCCCUCUCCCUGCACACUGGAAAAAACUUGGAAUAAACUGAUGUGUGUUCCUU